rnacentral:rRNA from 1 species
GAUGAACGCUGGCGGCGUGCCUAAUACAUGCAAGUCGAGCGAACAGACGAGGAGCUUGCUCCUCUGAUGUUAGCGGCGGACGGGUGAGUAACACGUGGAUAACCUACCUAUAAGACUGGGAUAACUUCGGGAAACCGGAGCUAAUACCGGAUAAUCUAUUGAACCGCAUGGUUCAAUAGUGAAAGAAGGUUUUGCUGUCACUUAUAGAUGGAUCCGCGCCGCAUUAGCUAGUUGGUAAGGUAACGGCUUACCAAGGCCACGAUGCGUAGCCGACCUGAGAGGGUGAUCGGCCACACUGGAACUGAGACACGGUCCAGGCUCCUACGGGAGGCAGCAGUAGGGAAUCUUCCGCGAUGGGCGAAAGCCUGACGGAGCAACGCCGCGUGAGUGAUGAAGGUCUUCGGAGCGUAAAACUCUGUUAUUAGGGAAGAACAAAUGUGUAAGUAACUAUGCACGUCUUGACGGUACCUAAGCAGAGAGCCACGGCUAACUACGUG